ACUCAAAUGAAUUGACGGGGGCCCGCACAAGCGGUGGAACAUGUGGUUCAAUUCGACGCAACGCGAAGAACCUUACCUGGGCUUGAACCGCUACGGACCAGCGAUAGAAAUAUUGCCUUCCCGCAAGGGACCGUAGUAGAGGUGCUGCAUGGCUGUCGUCAGCUCGUGCCGUGAGGUGUUGGGUUAAGUCCCGCAACGAGCGCAACCCUUACUCGUAGUUGCUACCCGCAAGGGAGAACUCUACGAGGACUGCUCCGGAUAACGGAGAGGAAGGUGGGGAUGACGUCAAGUCAGCACGGCCUUUAUGUCCAGGGCUACACACGUGUUACAAUGCAUGGUACAGACUGUUGCGAACCCGCGAGGGGGAGCUAAUCGGCCAAAGCCAUGCUCAGUUCGGAUUGCAGUCUGCAACUCGACUGCAUGAAGCUGGAAUCGCUAGUAAUGGCGUAUCAGAUCGACGCCGUGAAUACGUUCCCGGGCCUUGCACACACCGCCCGU
rnacentral:rRNA from 1 species